rnacentral:lncRNA from 1 species
GGUAAGGGUGGGGGGGCAAGUCUCGGUUUCUUUCCUCUGGAAGUCCCUUCUCCUUUCCUAUCUCAAGAGAAAAAGAGAGGGGAAAGAACACCCCCUUGCUAUUGCUAGCAGAUGUCAGGAAACACCUUUCAUCCAGCCCCUCAGUUCCCAAAUGUUUUCCCUCUCCUCCGGGGACUUUGAGUUGCAGCUCUAGUGGGUCCCUUUGCGCUCGCGUGUUCUGGGCACCAGCAGUCCGCCUCCAGGUGUUGGGCUUUGGCUUGAUGUCUGAAGAGGCUGGAGACUAAGGUCAGCCAUGUGGGAGGUCAGCCAUGCCUGCAUGACUAAGUCCCAGUAAAAUGUCUGGACGCCAAGGCUCAGGUUA